GACGAACGCUGGCGGCGUGCCUAAUACAUGCAAGUAGAACGCACAGUUUAUACCGUAGCUUGCUACACCAUAGACUGUGAGUUGCGAACGGGUGAGUAACGCGUAGGUAACCUGCCUGGUAGCGGGUGAUAACUAUGGGAAACGAUAGCUAAUACCGCAUAAUAUUAAUUAUUGCAUGAUAAUUAAUUGAAAGGUGCAAUUGCACCACUACCAGAUGGACCUGCGCUGUAUUAGCUAGUAGGUGAGGUAACGGCUCACCUAGGCAACGAUGCAUAGCCGACCUGAGAGGGGGAGCGGCCACACGGGAACUGAGACACGGUCCAGACUCCUACGGGAGGCAGCAGUAGGGAAUCUGCCGCAAUGGGCGAAAGCCUGACGGAGCAACGCCGCGGGAGUGAGGAAGGUCGUCGGAUCGUAAAACUCUGUUAUUAGGGAAGAACAUAUGUGUAAGUAACUGUGCACAUCUUGACGGUACCUAAUCAGAAAGCCACGGCUAACUACGUG
rnacentral:rRNA from 1 species